CUCAUCCCAGUGAACUGAUUGCCAGAGAUGAAACAGCUGAACCACAGACGGAGCUCAAUACAGUUGUUACUCAGAGUCACCCUGCCCACCUCCCAGCAGAAUUAUGUGUUGUCGCCGCUGCACCCACCCCCUACCAUAACUGAGUAGGUGGGACUUAAUGGAAGUUGUGAUCCUGGAGCUAGCCAUAGGGGGAAACUACCUGAAGAGGAAGGCAAACACCUCAAAAUAGCUUCAGGAAGUCCCUGAAACUGACCAGAUACAAGGUCCCUCCCUGCCAAACUAAGCAAUCCAAAAAACAAACAAACAAACAAAAACCUGAGAGUCCCUCUCAGACAAAACAAAGCUUAGCCACAAAGAAGACUCUCACACAGGCCAAGCUGCAAAGAAGACUCUGAUACCAGCUGCCUAGAAGCGGGAACUAACUGAGCUGCCUGGAAGAGGUUUAGAUCAACUGAGGCACCUGGAAAGGAUCCUCCUAACCUGUUGGGCUGCCUCCUGGCAGAACAGUAUGCUUCAGCUUCCCAGCUUUGUGAGCUGUCACCUGUGCUAAGUGACCCAGCAGCUGUCUUUGAGUCAUUUCUAUUCCUGUAAGUAACCCCUCACCCAUAUUCCAGUAAGUGAGUCCAAUAAAACUCUUUGGUUCACCAA